rnacentral:rRNA from 1 species
CACGUAGGCGGCUUGGUAUGUCGGGUGUGAAAUCCCCGGGCUCAACCUGGGAACUGCAUUCGAAACUGCCUUGCUUGAGUAUGGGAGAGGGAAGUGGAAUUUCCGGUGUAGCGGUGAAAUGCGUAGAUAUCGGAAGGAACAUCAGUGGCGAAGGCGACUUCCUGGACCAAUACUGACGCUCAGGUGCGAAAGCGUGGGGAGCAAACA